rnacentral:rRNA from 1 species
AUUGAACGCUGGCGGCAGGCCUAACACAUGCAAGUCGAGCGGAUGAAGGGAGCUUGUUCCUGGUUUCAGCGGCGGACGGGUGAGUAAUGCCUAGGAAUCUGCCUCGUAGUGGGGGAUAACGUCCGCAAACGGGCGCUAAUACUGCAUACGUCUUGUGGGAGAAAACGGGGGAUCUUCGGAUCUCACGCUAUCAGAUGAGCCUAGGUCGGAUUAGCUAGUUGGUGGGGUAAAGGCCUACCAAGGCGACGAUCCGUAACUGGUCUGAGAGGAUGAUCAGUCACACUGGAACUGAGACACGGUCCAGACUCCUACGGGAGGCAGCAGUGGGGAAUAUUGGACAAUGGGCGAAAGCCUGAUCCAGCCAUGCCGCGUGUGUGAAGAAGGUCUUCGGAUUGUAAAGCACUUUAAGUUGGGAGGAAGGGCAGUAAGUUAAUACCUUGCUGUAUUGACGUUACCAACAGAAGAAGCACCGGCUAACUUCGUG